UAUUAACUUAUAGAUUGAAAUAUGUGCAAAUUUUUAAGCAAGAUUAUUAAUUUAAUUGAUAGUUAUUAAGGUUUUAUAAUUGCUAUAGGAAUUGGUUAAGAUUGAUUAGGAUUUAAUUAGGUCUUCAUUAGGAUUUUCUUAGGACUAUCAUAGGAUUUGAAUAGAAUUUUCUUUGGAUUUUAUUAGGAUUUUCUUAGGAUUUGGUUAGGAUUUGAUUAGGAUUUGAUUAGGUAUUAUUUAAAAUUUGGUGGGGUUUUACUUGG
rnacentral:lncRNA from 1 species